GCUUUCGUGGUGUAAUCGUCAGCAAACUCGGCGCGUAUUCGAGAGGUCCGAGGUUCGAGUCCCGGUGAGGGCA
rfam:Stegodyphus mimosarum contig18710, whole genome shotgun sequence.